rnacentral:tRNA from 1 species
CGGGGCGUGGCGCAGUUGGUAGCGCGCUCGCUUUGGGAGCGAGAGGUUCGCGGGUCCGAGUCCCGCCGCCCCGA